GGGACAUGUGAAGAACAUGCAACUCUCACUCAUAGGCGGAAGUUUAUUUUUAUUUUUCCUUCUGUGAAUAAAAGUAGGGCCUCAUGAGAUUAGGUGAGUUCAGUUCUUGAAAAAUAAACUAACAUUUCAGAGUGGUGAAGUACAGAAGGUAAAGUAUAAAGGAAAUAAAAAUCACCAGAAUGCAGAUACAAACGUGGAUAAUCAUAACACAUUCAGGAAGCCUGUGACUACCUGUGCUAUUUCCAGAGAGUAUCCUCAGAGUAUUAUAGCACGUCAUGUAUUUCUUCACAUAUGGGAAACUUCAGACAAUCUUAGAUAACUUUAGUUUCCAGAUCACUGCUUUAUAAUAAAACACAGUCAAAUAAUCUCAAAGUUCUUAAUAAUUAAUAUCAAGAGAAUUCAUAUUGACUGAGGAAGUUAUAUAUAUUUUAGAAAGAUUUGAUCUAGUUAUUUACAUUUUCCUAAACCUUUGCAUAGGUUUUUACACAGCUACGACUUUAAUUCCAUGGAAGCCAGGAAAUAUGGAAGAUCACUUGAGUAUGCGUUAAGCACUGUCUUUGGCACAAAUGCUUCAUGGGGUGGAAAAAUACACGGACUAAGGACCUUCCAACCUGGAUCUCAGUGGCUGAUGUUUUCUGAUAGUGUCUGCUCUACAUUCCUCUGCUCCUUAUUUGAAGAAAAGAAAAGAUUCAGACUAAAAAAAGCAAAGAAAAAAAACAGUCUGUAAGUGUGUGAAACUAUUGAAUUACAGUUGAUUUUUCGAUUUAAAUUUUGUCUUUGGUUAUCACAUGAGUAUAUAUUUAUAAAUAAAUUGAUAUGGAAAUAAAUAUGUUUAUGUUUGUUUCCUUGGUAAAAUCAACAGUCUCUUUAAAAGUGCCAAAUUUUUUUCCUGAAAAUUACUAUAUCUACAUAAUCAUUUGCCAGUAAAGGAGUGAAGGGCAUGCCAUCCCCCAAUAUUCCAAAAAUUGGAAUAUUGAUUACUUUGAAUUAAAAACAUAGGCGCAAUGGUUGUUUCAGGAAAGCCCAGCUGACCAGUGUCUUCCUGCAUGCACAAAGCCAUAAAGACACCUUGGGAGGUGACCCUCUGUGCACCAGCUGAGAAAAUAGCCCUUACACCAGACGCUGGGAUCUGGGCUGCAAUGGAUCUGAACGAAUAGUUACUGGUGUAACACUUCUACGACUCUUACACCCUUCAUAUACCUCCUACUGACUCAUCCAAAAAUUUAUGUGUUCCUUUAUGAUAUGCUUUGCCAAUUGGAAGAUAGUGAAGAUUGGUUGUAGAGUAAAAAUAAAAAAUCUUUAUGCAAUUGGAUUGACAAUAUAGAAUGAAAACUUUAGAGUUAGCCUUAUCCCUUGGUACCAUUGAUAGAUGUUCCAAGUUGCAGUCUAAGCAGUAACCCAAAAGAAAGGGGGAUAAAAAACAUAUAGAUGGUGGGUUUUUUCCUCAAGGUUCUUUGUAAUGUAUAACAAGAGGAACUAUUACAGAUAUUACAUUGUUACCAUGGAAUACAAUACAACCGUCAGGGUGAUCUCAGAGACCAUGUUAAUUGACAGGCCAAUGUCAUGUUUUGCAAAUUUUAUAAAAUGUACAUAAGAGACAGUAAAAUGGAAUAGUUAUUAAAUUAUUAGGAGAGAUCCAGAUGCUUUGUUUAUAAAAUGCUAUGAAUUGUGAUGCAAUUCUUAAAAUUGUGGAAAUAAUUUUGUAAAUAAAAAAAUAAAUAAAAUGUCCUCCCUGGCAACAAAGGUUUUCUUAAUUCUGGCAGAUUAUUACAAUGCUGUAGUACAUGACCAAGACGUAAACAUUCACUCAUUAACUGAAGUAUUGCUCUGCAUGUGAGCUAGCCGGGAAACUUCAGAGAACGCCAUGCCAUGUUGUACGCACUCAGUCUCAGAGUCUCAGCACUAAUCUGCAUCAGGAGGAGUCACCACAAAGAAACUUCCUAGUGUUACAUGGCUCUGGCCCCGUGAAUCACCAUGUAGAUCUCACUGGUGUUUGUGUUCCUGGUAUAAAGGCAAGGCACCA
ensembl:lncRNA